GGGCCGCACGCGCGCUACACUGACGGAGCCAGCGAGUACUAACCUUGGCCGAGAGGUCUGGGUAAUCUUGUGAAACUCCGUCGUGCUGGGGAUAGAGCAUUGCAAUUAUUGCUCUUCAACGAGGAAUUCCUAGUAAGCGCAAGUCAUCAGCUUGCGUUGAUUACGUCCC
rnacentral:rRNA from 2 species